CAAAUGGGCACAGCCAGCGCAGAUGCAAUUACGUUCGACAGGAAAGCAAUGGGUAAAUUAAGUCAGAUAGCUAGCUCAGUUGUUAUGUCUCCAGUAGAUGGAACUACCCUCUAAAUGAGCAACAUCACUUUACAGUUUGGAUGAACCAAGCCUUGAAUUCUGUACGAGAAAGAGUUACGCCUGAUCCCUAAAAGGAAAAAGGUUAUGCCUUAUCCUUUGAAAAG